AGAAAAGUUUGGAGACAAACUUUAUGUUGGCUUGACAAAGCAUGGCCUGAACGUAUAAAACAGAUUGACAGAAAAUUGAAAGAAGUUUAGUUUAGUAGUCGACCUGGCUGUUAACAUGUUUUAGUCUGAAGCAUGAUUUAACAAAGUUAACAUGAUUAAACACGACGCUAGCAUGAUUUUGCAUGACAUUAUCCUGAUUUAGCAUGAAGCUAGCAUGAUUUACUUGAAGCUAGCAUGAUUUAACACGAAGCAAGCAUGAUGCUAGCAUGAUUUAGCAUGAAGUUAGCAUGAUGCUAGCGUGAAGCUAACAUGAUUAAAAGACCCAACCCCCAUGUCUCUACGAUGUUCUGAUGCAGAGAUACAAGGCUUUAUUUAUUAUGUUGCUAGGGUACUGUAUUUGGUAGUGUGAUUAUACUCCAAGCCACAAGUAAAACGGUCCAACCCCAGUGUCUUUUCUUAUUGCAUAUUUAAUUUAAUAAGUCAGAAACGUCUCCGCUGUGUCCUGCUGACAGGCGCGGUGGGCGCGUGCAGCAGGUGACGCCAAUUAUGGGUCCUCCGAAGGUUAGACUGUCUCAUUCCACCUAGAAAGACUGAGUACUUACCUUUUAAGGUUGCAUGCUUAUAAUGUCGCAGCCCUUGCAAUGGGACACAGCUUAUGACACUGUGCUGUAAAGAUAUCCCUCUAGCCAUUUUAAAAUGGCAGUCUAUGGGAUUGUUGCUAGGGUACUGUCUUUGGUUGCUAGGAAGUGGCUUAGCAGUGCCCAAUAAUGAUACUCCAUAGGCUGCUUGCCAGUUUGAGUGACAUAAAUCAGCCCCCAUGUCUCUAUGACAUUCGUAUUUGAAAAUAUAACUGUUUGGAUUCUGGCUGCUAGGGUGCUCAACAAUGGUUGCUAGGGCAUGGAUAGGUAGUGAAAGUGACACUUCUAUUAAAAUAAAUAAUUAUUUUAAAUGAAAAUCAAUUAAACUUGACGCACACACACGCACACGCACGCACGCGCGCGCACGCACGCACGCACGCACGCACGCACGCACACACACACACACACACACACACUUAUAUUAAACUGUAUUAUAUAAACAUAUAUAUGUCACUGUGCCUUUCUUUGUAAAUAUUUAUGCUAAUAAAACGUUUAUUAAUUAUUAUUAUUAUUAUUUUCAUUUGUAGUACUAUUGCCUAGUGAUCAUUAUUUUGAUUAAUAUAUUUUCAGUAUGCCUCAUAUAAUGGAUGAAAAAUGAUUCUUUAAAACCAAUAAGACAAAAAUCCCUUAACCUUUUGCUAAUGAGCUCUAGAUUCAAUGGUUGUGGCUAUGGAUACAGCUACGGCCAAAAUCUUUUGAAGUCUCGCCGGUUGAGCGCUGUUUUCUAUAUUCAUAAUAAAGGCGGAGGUCGUUUCCGACGGCUACAGCCUCCAAAGGUCGGAUUUGCAGGCUGCCUACGUCAUCAAGCCUGUCUUAUUUCAUAAUAUUAACAAUUAUAAAAUUGACUAUUAUUUUUAGUAAAUCGUGUAUUGUUGUAAUAUGCUUAUGACUUGCGAAUGUAAUGCUCAGUUAACUGAAAUAAACCAAGAUUGAUGAAGUAUAUCAUAUAUGCAGCCUGCAUAUGCGCCCUCUGGAGGCUGCAGCCUUCGGAUUGAGAAACGGUCGAAUAUUUAUGUUUUUUUCAUAUACCCAAACCUUACAACAUUUUACGGGAUUUAGGUCGUGACUGUAUGCUGUCUAGCAGAAUCGCUGUUUUUCAACUUAAUCCUAACUAAAUCUAACGCUUAAACUCAACAUCUCGCGAGAUUUGGCCGCAUCCGUAAUGCGCCACUCCCUCCGAACUGGUUUCAUCCGGUCUUCUGUUGAGACAGGUAAGUGCCUCAGGACUUUCUCUCCGUUAUUUUUUGAGGUAUUUUUCGACAUAAAUUCAUAAAAGUUGUAAAAACAACGUUGAAUUUAGUUCACAUGAUUAUUUUAGACAAAAUUCGAUUGUUUAUUUAGAUAUUUGUAUUUUUUUGCUAUAGUUUAAACGAUAAACUAUAGUGCAAGUAACGUUAAUUCCACACGAAAUACAGGUACCUUGGCACGCGUGGUUUAAAUGUAAGCUGUUUUUUGUCACAAUUAGAGAUGUACCACGAGUUAGAGUAUAUAUUUACUUGUUUUAACGUUCAUUAUAAAGUUUAGCGUUUAUUAGCAUGAGGGUUAGCAUUUGUUUACACGGUCGUGUUGAGGGCUCCAGCCAGCAUCCACUGGUUCCAACAUGGAUCAGCUGUGUCUGUUUGUGAGACACUUAAAGUGUUGCUUAAGCGUGUUGGGAAACCCUGGGUCUUAUAAACAAAAUAUACGUGUGUUUACAAUGUACUUCUGAUAUUGGAUACCAUUAACUUAAAGUUACAUGCUGCUAUAGCAAUUCUAAUAAUGUGCUAAGUUGUGUUUCCUUGCUUUUCCUUGUCACUACUUUGCCUUCACAUAGUUUGUGCUGUCUAGACACAUGUGUGACAAGUCAUUUUUUUACUUGCAUUUAAUUUUUAGUUACUAAUGUGUCUUUCUUUUUUGCUGUUCUACAGACAGGUCAUUGCUUCAGCUGUCCAACAUCCAGUUUGUGGUGCUGCACAACAAACCCCACUUUUUUAGUGGAUAUAUUCAAGCGAACCCAAAGGCUCUUUUAAGAGCCAUCCACAUUGCACAGGACUUUUUCUAUUGGACGUCUAUUCAUUAUUACGUACAAAAACGCUGAAAACGUACAAAAACGCUGAAAACGUACAAAAACGCUGAAAACGUACAAAACGCUUCUUGUGAUUCUGAAAAAACGCUUCUUGUGAUUCUGAAAACCCCCUUCCUGUGAGCCUGAAAACCCUCUUUCUGUGAACCUGAAAAUCUUCUUCCUGUGAGCCUUACUACAAAAACCAAGUGAACAUUGACACCAGUUAGUGAACUACACCUACUGCAAGAGAAAAGAAGCUCCAAAACAUCUCUUCCAGUACACCUUGCUACCUGUUGUCUUCAAGAAGGACCACUGAUUCAAGCUCAGCUUUUGAAGCCUACUGUUUAACGUUACAUUAGUUAAAUUUUUGUGGUGUUGUUUAUCAUACAGGUAUAUUUUAUGUAAAUAGAUUUUAUAAGGUAUAUACAAUUAAAUAGUCUUUCUGUAGUCUUGUUAACCACAUUUUGAUACAAAUAAGUUUACUGUAAAGUAGAAGUUAAAGUACAUUUGGGUAACAUUUUAUUUAUUAUAAACAUUACAUCUGUGUUACUUAUUAGUGUGAGUUAUUAAACCUUUGCCAGUAUUACAUUAGUCUGAGUUUUACCAUCUGUUUUACAUUAGUCUGAGUUAUUUAAUCUGUUUUAAGUACUACAUUGGUUUAAGUUAUUAAAUCUGUGUUAAGUCUUACAUUAGUCAGAGUUCAAAAAUCUGUUUUACAUUAGUCUGGGUUGUUGCACCUGUGUUGGGUAUUACAUUAGUCUGAGUUAUUAAACCUCUGCCAGUAUUACAUUAGUCUGAGUUUUACCAUCUGUUUUACAUUAGUCUGGGUUGUUACACCUGUGUUAAGUAUUACAUUAGUCUGAGUUAUUUAAUCUGUUUAAAGUAUUUCAUUAGUUUGAUUUAUUAAAUCUGUGUUAAGUCUUACAUUAGUCUGAGUUCAAAAAUCUAUUUUACAUUAGUCUGGCUUGUUACAUCUGUGUUGGGUAUUACAUUAGUCUGAGUUAUUAAACACCUGUUUUACAUUAGUCUGGGUUGUUACACCUGUGUGAAGUAUUACACAUCUAUGUUACAUUAGUUCUGUUCAUACAUUCCUGUUUAUCACACAUAUAACUUCAGUGGAUAAGUAAACAGUAAAAUUUUUUUUAAAUCUUAUUUAAUCUGUGUUGGGAGUGAUAACAUAUAUUCAUACAUUACAUUUGUGUGACAUCAGUAUUGUGAUUUAAAGCAUUCGUGUUUACAGUUAUACAAGUAACCUUUUCAUAUACUUGUCUGUCAUAUAUUAACUUUGAGUAAUUUUGAGUAAUUGAUUGCAUAAUAGGCAUAACCUGUGGCUGGAAGUUCAUAAUCAGUCAGAUAUUUCAAAAUUGAUCUGUGUUUAAACAUUACAUCUGCUCAACUCAAGUUGCCUUGUAUAUCACACAACCUUACUGUGUAAUUGAUUAUAUUGGCACUUUAUAUUAGUAAAAAAGAUACUUUUGA